UACGUAGGGUGCAAGCGUUAAUCGGAAUUACUGGGCGUAAAGCGUGCGCAGGCGGUUUUGUAAGUCUGUCGUGAAAUCCCCGGGCUCAACCUGGGAAUUGCGAUGGAGACUGCAAGGUUAGAAUCUGGCAGAGGGGGGGGGUAGAAUUCCACGUGUAGCAGUGAAAUGCGUAGAGAUGUGGAGGAACACCGAUGGCGAAGGCAGCCCCCCUGGGUCAAGAUUGACGCUCAUGCAC
rnacentral:rRNA from 1 species